AUCGAAGGCUUUCUCACAAUCCACAAACGCUAGACAGAGUGGCAGAUUAUACUCCUGAGUCUUCUGCAUAAUCUGCCGUAACGUGUGGAUGUGGUCUACGGUACUGUAGCCUUUCCGAAACCCAGCCUGCUCCGGAGGCUGAAAUUCGUCAAGUCUUCGGGCGAGACGAUUCGUAAUAACCCGCGAGAACAGCUUGUAAAUAUGGCUUAGAAGUGAGAUUGGUCUGUAGUUCUUAAGUAGACUCUUAUCUCCUUUUUUGAAAAAGAGUACGGUGACACUUCUACUCCAUUUUUCCGGUGUUGUGCCAGUUUUGAUGACGGUAUUAAAGAGGUCUUUAAGCUUGUUAAGAAUUGGCUUUCCUCCUGCGCGCAGGAGCUCCGCUGUAAUACCGUCAUCACCUGGGGCUUUAUUAUUCUUCAGCUGUCCGAGGGCUAUACUAAUCUCACCUACGUCGAUAUCCGGGAGGUCAUCGGUAUAGUGGCGCACAAGUCUUGCACGUUGGUCGUUCGUGGUUUGGGUGGGUGCAGGUU